CAGAGGGGUGGAGGGGAAGUCAGAUGUUAGUUGAAAAUUAUGGAGGAAUUUAAUAUGUAUAUUUAUUAAAUUUGUGGUGUGUGUGUGUGUGUGUGUGUGUGUGUGUGUGUGUGUGUGAUCAGGCUGCCUCCAGAUGUUGCCAGACUACAACUCCCAUCAUCUCUGA